rnacentral:tRNA from 1 species
CAGGGAGACAACAAAAUGUUAAAUAUUAAUUUUGUCACCUUAGGUCGAUCGGUAUCUCACAUUCUUAGUUUAUUAAGAAUUUUAUUUCCUAAGUUUUUCUAGGUCACACCCAUUACUUUUCCUGGGCCAUUAGCUCAGGUGGUUAGAGCGCACCCCUGAUAAGGGUGAGGUCCCUGGUUCAAGUCCAGGAUGGCCCAUAUCUCUAUGUUGGGGGUAUAGCUCAGUUGGUAGAGCGCCUGCUUUGCAAGCAGGAUGUCAGCGGUUCGAGUCCGCUUACCUCCACUGAUUUCCACCUCUUCCAUAUUUUUAGAAGGGAAAUGUUUUGAGUGGUGAUCAAAUUCUGAACGAAUCUAGCUUCCUAAUUAAAUAAGUUAAGAUGCUGGACUCAUUGAAUUAAAUUCAUUGUUUUCAGAGAACCUUGACAACUGCAUAGAUUAUUUUUAAAGACAAUAAGCAUCUUUAAUGAUGCAGAUUUUUAUUUGUGCGAAUGCACUAAUAACAAUUCUAUUAAGCUGAUGCUUCAA